GUUCGUUCUGGAUACUGGUAGACUAGAGUAUGGUAGAGGCAAAUGGAAUUCCUAGUGUAGCGGUGGAAUGCGUAGAUAUUAGGAGGAACACCAGUGGCGAAGGCGGUUUGCUGGGCCAUUACUGACGUUGAGGUACGAAAGCGUGGGUAGCAAAUAGGAUUAGAUACCCUAGUAGUCCACGCUGUAAACGAUGAGCACUAAGUGUCGGGUUACCGGUGCUGAAGUUAACACAUUAAGUGCUCCGCCUGAGUAGUACGGUCGCAAGACUGAAACUCAAAGGAAUUGACGGGCACCCGCACAAGCGGUGGAGCAUGCCGUUUAAUUCGAAAAUACGCGAAAAACCUUACCUAGACUUGACAUCCCUGGCAAUGCUAUAGAAAUAUAGCGGAGGUUAUCCGGGUGACAGGUGGUGCAUGGUUGUCGUCAGCUCGUGUCGUGAGAUGUUCAGUUAAGUCUGCUAACGAGCGCAACCCUUGUCAAUAGUUGCUAACAUUUAGUUGAGAACUCUAUUGAGACUGCCGGUAUUAAACCGGAGGAAGGUGGGGAUGACGUCAAAUCAUCAUGCCCCUUACGUCUAGGGCAACAGGCGUGCUACAAUGGCUGGUACAAUGAGUCGCAAAACCGCGAGGUAGAGCUAAUCUCCAAAGCCAGUCUCAGUUCGGAUUGAAGUCUGCAACUCGACUUCAUGAAGCUGAAAUCGCUAGUAAUCCCGGAUCAGAAUGCCGGGGUGAAUACGUUCUCGGGUGUUGUACACACCGCCCGUCACGGCAUGGGAGUCAAUAAUAUCCGAAGCCGGUAGCCUAACCCGCAAGGGAGGGGGCCGUCGAAGAUAGGAUUGAUGACUGGGCUGAAGUCGUAACAAGGUAUCCCUACCGGAAGGUGGGGAUG
rnacentral:rRNA from 1 species